rnacentral:rRNA from 1 species
AUGAACGCUGGCGGCGUGCCUAAUACAUGCAAGUCGAGCGAACAGACGAGGAGCUUGCUCCUCUGACGUUAGCGGCGGACGGGUGAGUAACCCGUGGAUAACCUACCUAUAAGACUGGGAUAACUUCGGGAAACCGGAGCUAAUACCGGAUAAUAUAUUGAACCGCAUGGUUCAAUAGUGAAAGACGGUUUUGCUGUCACUUAUAGAUGGAUCCGCGCCGCAUUAGCUAGUUGGUAAGGUAACGGCUUACCAAGGCAACGAUGCGUAGCCGACCUGAGAGGGUGAUCGGCCACACUGGAACUGAGACACGGUCCAGACUCCUACGGGAGGCAGCAGUAGGGAAUCUUCCGCAAUGGGCGAAAGCCUGACGGAGCAACGCCGCGUGAAUGAUGAAGGUCUUCGGAUCGUAAAACUCUGUUAUUAGGGAAGAACAAAUGUGUAAGUAACUAUGCACGUCUUGACGGUACCUAAUCAGAAAGCCACGGCUAACUACGUG